AACAGACACCAGGAAAAUAAACAAUGAGAAAAUGAUGUUUAAGUUGUGAGUGACAAAGUAAGUCAUCAAUCAAUUAAUGAAAAUGAAAGAGACAGGUCUUGUGAAAUAUUGGAACAACAUUUAUGAAGUCUGACUAGAGGGAUUCCAUCUAUUCUAAAAACCCAUACGUACAUUAUGAUGCAAAUGGAAGAAAACAUUAAAAAGCAGUGGAUACGGCCACCGGGAAAUCAGUAGGAAUGGAUCUACCCUAGGCACAGAUGUACCAAUACAGUUUGAACUAUGUAAAAAAAAGAUGAAAAGAUUCAUUUUCAGUAAAAAGCAGAACUGUGACACAGGAGCAUUGACACUUAUGAAAUGUUACAAAUUAUUUCAAAUGACACCAAUGAAAAAU